GUCCUGCUGAGAAAGAGGGCUUAUCUCGGA
rnacentral:sRNA from 1 species